AUUGAACGCUGGCGGCAGGCCUAACACAUGCAAGUCGAGCGGAUGAAGAGAGCUUGCUCUCUGAUUCAGCGGCGGACGGGUGAGUAAUGCCUAGGAAUCUGCCUGGUAGUGGGGGACAACGUUUCGAAAGGAACGCUAAUACCGCAUACGUCCUACGGGAGAAAGCAGGGGACCUUCGGGCCUUGCGCUAUCAGAUGAGCCUAGGUCGGAUUAGCUAGUAGGUGAGGUAAAGGCUCACCUAGGCGACGAUCCAUAACUGGUCUGAGAGGAUGAUCUGUCACACUGGAACUGAGACACGGUCCAGACUCCUACGGGAGGCAGCAGUGGGGAAUAUUGGAAAAUGGGCGAAAGCCUGAUCCAGCCAUGCCGCGUGUGUGAAGAAGGUCUUCGGAUUGUAAAGCACUUUAAGUUGGGAGGAAGGGCAGUAAGUUAAUACCUUGCUGUUUUGACGUUACCGACAGAAUAAGCACCGGCUAACUCUGUGCCAGCCGCCGCGGUAAUAC
rnacentral:rRNA from 1 species